UUGAACACAAGCCGUCUCAUCCAGACUUUGUGUUAUAGAUGGGCGGUUUGGAACACAAAGUCUGGAUGAGACGGCUUGUGUU
rnacentral:miRNA from 1 species